AUCCCAUGACUUGGGCAUUUUCGAAUCAAGUCCGAAAAUUUGUACCAUGCCUCAGAGAAGGUUUCACUAUCCUCUUAUUGAAAGUUGUGGAUGACCUCUCUCAGCUU